rnacentral:lncRNA from 1 species
AAGCCAAUCUGGCUGACACAUUGUUAAUUCUAGGGACAUAAUUUUGUACUUGACUAUUUAUUAUUGAAUAAAUAAAAGGCAUCUUUUCAUUCAUAUUAUUUAUGUGUCUAUGAAUCGUCCAAGAAAUUAAUAAGAUAAUGAUACAUAUUCUCAAGAGUUGAGAAUUUGAGCCAUGUAUCAUUGGUGAUUAAUUUCUAAAUGUUCCUGAUCAAUGGAUCAUCACGAGGACGGUGAUCGAUCCGAUCAGUGCACAGAUCACUUUCCUUCUGGAUGGACGAGACUUGAGUCCACAGUGUAGGGACACUGAAGUGAUAAUGCAGGUGCUUGU